UAGGGAAUCUUCGGCAAUGGACGAAAGUCUGACCGAGCAACGCCGCGUGAGUGAAGAAGGUUUUCGGAUCGUAAAACUCUGUUGUUAGAGAAGAACAAGGACGUGAGUAACUGAACGUCCCCUGACGGUAUCUAACCAGAAAGCCACAGCUAACUACGUGCCAGCAGCCGCGGUAAUACGUAGGUGGCAAGCGUUGUCCGGAUUUAUUGGGCGUAAAGCGAGCGCAGGCGGUUUCUUAAGUCUGAUGUGAAAGCCCCCGGCUCAACCGGGGAGGGUCAUUGGAAACUGUGAGACUUGAGUGCAGAAGAGGAGAGUGGAAUUCCAUGUGUAGCGGUGAAAUGCGUAGAUAUUUGGAGGAACACCAGUGGCGAAGGCGGCUCUCUGGUCUGUAACUGACGCUGAGGCUCGAAAGCGUGGGGAGCAAACAGG
rnacentral:rRNA from 1 species